CCACGAACAACACAAAACAUCUCAACAAACCAGCGAAAUACAUUGGGAAACAAAGACCACAAUGAAUUGAUCAUCAAAUGACCAAUCAGUAAAUAAAUGCAACCAAGUCAAAUCCACCGGCAAAACACUACACAACUCAACAACAUAAAGAAACUCAAAAAUGGACAGCAAUCCAAAGUAUAAGAGGAAAUUUGUAUAUUGAUAACAAACAAUUGAGAACAAAGACCACAGCAAAUCAAUCAUCAAAAUGAAAACUCACUUAGUAAAUAUAACCAAAUUAUAUCCACGGAAAACACAAGACUACAAGAAAACUAUCAUUCCCUCACGAGCAACAACUCUCACAAAUUGAAUCAGAGGAAUAAAAGUAAUAAAUCAAAAGAAAAUCACAGUUACCAUAAAAUGAAAAAAUCACAAAAUUCUAGGGCAUAAUUUAAAUACUUCCAUAAUAAAAAUUAAAAGGUACAUCUAUAUCUAACAACGCAAGCAAGAUCCAAAUAAGAAUUUGUUGGGGGAAAAAAAUGAAUCCACUCAAACUGAAACAGACGAAAUAAGUCUGCUGUUAAUCAAUUAAACUACUCGGCGGACAGUAAAACCCAGAAAAAUCACAGAUAAGAUGAAUCGAUAUCCAACAAUUGAAGUAUGUGAGUCAAUAUUAUUAUAAAGAAAGGGGAGGAGGAGAAGAAAUGCAAAAGAAAAAAGAUAAGGAGGCCUGAAAGUCAAUAAUGUAAUUCCAAGCAAUACCCAUAUAACAUCUUUUAUAGAAACCAACAGUAUAAUAGUAAUAGAUUAAACAAACUGACCUUACUUGCAGACGAUUUUUUGGCGUUGUUUCCUUACCUGGAUCCAUGAAUAUACCUCAGCCAACGGCAGCAGCGCCAUAUGAAGUAGGCACUGGGCAGUGGAGAAAUUAGGCUUUCAGGCAUCCAUGAAUGAAAUUCCUCCACCGGCGGCGUAUUCUGAACUAAACGGCGAAGAAUUUGGCUUUGGCAAUGGAGCGGUGAUCUCUUUCUUGACCGUUGGCCAUUGCCCCUUAGUUGUAUGGAAGUUGUAUGAGAACAGUUUGAAAGUCUAAGAAGGAAAAAAAAAAAAAAAAAAAAAAAAAAAAAAAAAAAAA
rnacentral:lncRNA from 1 species